rnacentral:lncRNA from 1 species
AAGCCACCGGAGACCGCCACACUUGUCCCAAAAGCUUCGCCGUCGUCUCUACUUCAUUGCUGGAUAGGUGGUGCAUCGAGUGGCGCCGCCGUGAGAGAUAAAUCGAGCUCCAAAACUCCGCCGGUUCGGAUUCGGUGUCGUUCGAAUUUCUCCUUCCUCAGGUCACCAUUUGGUGAGUUCUAUAUAUGGAUAAGUUGAGUUUGAUUAGUACUACAUUCCCCUAGAAUUUGGUAGCUCGAUUCGGUGUGUGUGUGAGGAGAAUCGAAGAUUUGAAGUUUUUAGGGUUUAAAAAUUGAGGAUUUUUAUAUUUUGAUUCAAUUGACCUAUUUAGGCUUAGAAUUAGGCUUCGACUUUUUCUAGAAAGUUGUUCGAAAUGUUGAGAAGAAGAUUCUGUCAAAUUUUGGUGGUGAUUGGAGGUGGCCGAAAGUUUCUGCUAGUUUUUUUUUUUCAAAAACCAGCAACUUUAGCCGAUGAUAUUUAAAGGUUUAGCCGACGAUAUUUAAAAGUUUAUUCGUCGGCUAUAUUAUUUUUAAAUUUUUUUAUAAGGUUUAGCUGACGAAUUAUGGCAUAUUUCGUCGGCUAUAGUUAUUUUUUAAAAUUUUUAUAAGGUUUAGCCGACAAAACAGACUAUAUUUCGUCGGCUAUAGUUAUUUUUUUAAAUUUUUUUAUAAGGUUUAGCCGGUUAUAGUCUGGGAAAAAAUUUUUUAUUACAGACUUUAGCCGACGAAUAUCUUAAUUGUUUCGUCGGCUAAAGUCUGGGAAAAAAACCGACGACAUGUUUUUCGUCGGCUAAAUUGCGGGACUAUAGCCGACGAAAUUUUUUUUUUCGUCGGCUAAAGUCAUCACAGACGACCUUUUCCCGACGAAAUCUUAGCCGACGAUGGCUCGUCGGCUAAGAUCUUAGCCGACGAAUUAAGCUAACAGGCCGACUAAAAUUUUUCGUCGGCUAAAGUGCUUGUCCUGGUAGUGACACGACGUGUAUUUUCAUAUACAUAUAUGGAUGAUCAUGAUUAGAGGAAAUAAUAUAAAAACAUGGUGGUCAAACAUAUAUAUGAAUUGUUAUGAACAGUUAAAAUUGUGUCGUGUAAAUACACGUCGUGCAUACAAGAAUUUCCACAUAUAAAAAACAUUUACCAUCUGGUGAUUCUGGUCAUGCAUUUGAACUAUACAUGAAAACGAAUACAUCAUGCAUACAUCUGUCCAACUAUAAAGCAUGGAUGGUGUCAAAUUGUACAUCUCAUCCCCAAAGCAUCAAUAGAGAUACCUCUAGCCACAUGGUAUUAGACUAAAUGAUGCAACAACCAAAUACAUUUAGAUCAAAUCACAACAACAUGAACACACAUCUCAUAUCAGUAAGAUCAACAAGACUAGAACACUAACCUGAUGAUUGGUUCAUUGAGGUCGACAUCUUGCAAUAGCAGUUGCACUUAGAACCAAAAGUUAAGCCUUCUGCACUUCAACACU